CCUACGGGGUGCAGCAGUGGGGAAUAUUGGACAGUGGGCGAAAGCCUGAUCCAGCCAUGCCGCGUGUGUGAAGAAGGCCUUCGGGUUGUAAAGCACUUUCAGUGGGGAAGAAAGCCUUGGGGCUAAUACCCUCGAGGAAGGACAUCACCCACAGAAGAAGCACCGGCUAACUCCGUGCCAGCAGCCGCGGUAAUACGGAGGGUGCGAGCGUUAAUCGGAAUUACUGGGCGUAAAGCGCGCGUAGGCGGUCUGAUAAGCCGGUUGUGAAAGCCCCGGGCUCAACCUGGGAACGGCAUCCGGAACUGUCAGGCUAGAGUGCAGGAGAGGAAGGUAGAAUUCCCGGUGUAGCGGUGAAAUGCGUAGAGAUCGGGAGGAAUACCAGUGGCGAAGGCGGCCUUCUGGACUGACACUGACGCUGAGGUGCGAAAGCGUGGGUAGCAAACAGGAUUAGAUACCCUGGUAGUC
rnacentral:rRNA from 1 species